AUUGAACGCUGGCGGCAGGCCUAACACAUGCAAGUCGAACGAGUGGCGGACGGGUGAGUAAUGUCUGGGAAACUGCCCGAUGGAGGGGGAUAACUACUGGAAACGGUAGCUAAUACCGCAUACCAUCGGAUGUGCACAGAUGGGAUUAGCUAGUGGGUGGGGUAACGGCUCACCUAGGCGACGAUCCCUAGCUGGUCUGCGAGGAUGACCAGCCACACGGGAACUGAGACACGGUCCAGAUUCCUACGGGAGGCAGCAGUGGGGAACAUUCGACAAUGGGGGAAAGCCUGAUGCAGCCAUGCCGCGUGUAUGAAGAAGGCCUUCGGGUUGUAAAGUACUUUCAGCGAGGAGGCGGUACUCGCAGAAGAAGCACCGGCUAACUCCGUGCCAGCAGCCGCGGUAAUUC
rnacentral:rRNA from 1 species